UCCCUGGAGGACUAGUGGUUAGGCCACAGAGCUCUCACCUCUACAGCCCAGGUUCGAUUCCUGGCCAUGGAA
rnacentral:tRNA from 1 species